rnacentral:rRNA from 1 species
UACGUAGGGGGCAAGCGUUGUCCGGAAUCAUUGGGCGUAAAGCGCGUGUAGGCGGCUCGAUAAGUCUGCUGUGAAAGUCCAGGGCUCAACCCUGGGAUGCCGGUGGAUACUGUCGGGCUCGAGUCCGGAAGAGGCGAGUGGAAUUCCCGGUGUAGCGGUGAAAUGCGCAGAUAUCGGGAGGAACACCAAUGGCGAAGGCAGCUCGCUGGGACGUGACUGACGCUGAGACGCGAAAGCGUGGGGAGCAAACAGG